CUUCUAGUCGCCAUGUUUGUGUUGGUAGUGAAAAGGAUGUCGAGACUUAUUAGGGAAUUGUGAUAGUUAUUUAUUGAGGGUGUGAGUGUUUAAGAUAUAUUACGUCCAAAAUGGUGGUGUCCGUUUGGUUAACGUUGGUGGAAUUUACUGUUAUAUAUAUAUUUUUGUUUGUGUAUUUUAAUUUUUUAUUUCUUUCUUGAAUUUUAGUGUUUGGGUUUAGCGGUUGAAUGAGAGUGUUACCAUGAAAGGUAUUUUUUUUUAUUGUUUUACUGCGGUUUUAAUAUAUACAGUAGGUGCCAAAAGUAUCCGAACACUUCGCGUUUUCGGACCAUUUUAGCAUGGGUUCAA